CCUACGGGUGGCAGCAGUGAGGAAUAUUGGUCAAUGGGCGAGAGCCUGAACCAGCCAAGUCGCGUGAGGGAGUACUGCCCUAUGGGUUGUAAACCUCUUUUGUCGGGGAGCAAAAGCCGGAAGUGUCCGGCUGUGAGAGUUACCGAAGAAAAAGCAUCGGCUAACCCCGUGCCAGCAGCCGCGGUAAUACGGAGGAUGCGAGCGUUAACCGGAUUUAUUGGGUUUAAAGGGUGCGCAGGCGGGUUUUUCAGUCAGCGGUAAAAUCGUGGGGCUCAACCCCAUCCAGCCGUUGAAACUGGGGAUCUAGAGUGUGCGAGAGGUAUGCGGAAUGCGUGGUGUAGCGGUGAAAUGCAUAGAUAUCACGCAGAACCCCGAUUGCGAAGGCAGCAUACCGGUGCACAACUGACGCUCAGGCACGAAAGCGUGGGUAUCGAACAGGAUUAGAUACCCCAGUAGUC
rnacentral:rRNA from 1 species